CCUACGGGAGGCAGCAGUGGGGAAUCUUGCGCAAUGGGCGAAAGCCUGACGCAGCGACGCCGCGUGAGGGAUGAAGGUCUUCGGAUCGUAAACCUCUGUCAGCAGAGAAGAACGGUCACUGUGCUAAUCAGCAGUGAAUUGACGGUACCUGCAAAGGAAGCACCGGCUAACUCCGUGCCAGCAGCCGCGGUAAUACGGAGGGUGCGAGCGUUAACCGGAAUUACUGGGCGUAAAGCGCUCGUAGGCGGUCUGUCAAGUCAAGGGUGAAAGCCCCGUGCUCAACGGGGGUACUGCCUUGGAAACUGGGAAACUUGAGUGCGUGAGAGGAUAGUGGAAUUCCAGGUGUAGGAGUGAAAUCCGUAGAUAUCUGGAGGAACACCAGUGGCGAAGGCGACUAUCUGGCACAUAACUGACGCUGAGGAGCGAAAGCGUGGGUAGCAAACAGGAUUAGAUACCCCAGUAGUC
rnacentral:rRNA from 1 species